CCCGCCCUACGGGCGGAAAGUUAAAAAAAACUAUUUUAUAUGAAUGUACAUUAUGAAGCAUUUUUUUAAAAAAAAUUGUAGAUUGGAAACGAUAUUAUAAACAAAAAUAAAUAAAUAGAAUUCAUAGAUCAUGUUGUUAUUUUUAAUAAAUAUUUUUAGACUGAAUUAAAAUGAUAGUAAAUUUUAUUAUUCUAUGAAGAACAAUCUAAUAUAAUAAGAUUACUGAUGUCCGCAUAUAAUUAUACAAUGAUCAUGUCAGAGAGAUAUGAUAUUAUCUAAGCCAAAACAACCUUUUGUUAGUGUGAGUAGUUUGGUCUAUGUAUAUUUUAAUUAAAAUGUGAUAGUUUUCUCCUAACGAAAGAGUUGUGGACAAUUUGCUGGAUGUUCUGCUAUUUAAGCAGAUGCUUGGAUAAGGUUCUUUAAGCGAAAGAAUCUAAAUGUCUUCCCUUAAAGAGGUAAAAAAAUUGGCAGAGCAAAUUGCACAAUUGAAAAGAAGCUAAUGAGUUUGAAGAUAAUAUGAACGACCAAGAACAUGAAAAUGUGUUAAUAAAGAACUCACAUAUGUACGAUAUGAGAAGGUAUAAACUUCGAGAACAAUAUUGCUGUAGUGUAAAAUAAAUUUACUAUUUGUUUUUAAAUAAAAUUUAUUUUAAAUAUUUUGAAAUAUUUCAUUUUUAAACUAAAAGUUUAAAAAUUUCUUUAAAUGCAUAAAUUAUAAUAGGUUCAACAUUGGUAAUUUGUAUAAUUUUCAACGAUAUAUGUAGAUUAUGGCAUACCAAAAAAAGAAAUAUAAUGAUCACUUGAUUAGAAUGGAAAAAAUGGUUAAUAUAUUCGAGUAAAAUAAUAAGAAGGUGAGAUGUGAACAAAAUGUUUACAAUAGACAGAAUUUUAUUUUAUUUAUAUAGAUAUCCUAGCAUGUAAAAUAAUUCAGUUUCACAAAAUAGUUAUAAUGUACUAUAAUAUAUUCAAAUGUGUAUUGUGCAAAAAAUGUGUCUGGAUUUAAACAUUUGUCAAAAGAUACCAAAUAAAAUUAUUUACAUGUGUCGAUGUUAAGAUUCUUAAUUGUUAUUUAUUGCAUAUAAAAUAAAACUAUAUGUCAAAGAAAUUGGAAUACCUAUAUCCUUGAUUGAAUAACCCCUUUUUUUUUUUGAUCAACCAAAAUACUUAGAUUAAGAAGAGGGAAGUAACAGGGAAUGGCAUACUAAUUAAAUAACCCCUUAUAUUCUAUCCUUCAUAGAUUUGAAUUAUGCUGAUUGUCGUGUACUCCAUAAUUUUUUUUGUUGUUUGUUCUUUUUUUAUUCAAAGAAACGAAUUAACUUCGCAAAUAUAUAUUUACUUGAAGUUUCAUUUCAAAAUUGAACACAUGCGAAGGCUGGACAUUUUCUUGUUUAUGGGCUUAGAUGGGUCCGAAAGAGAAUACAAAACUUGAGCAUAUAUUAAUAUUUUUCACCUUAGGCCCACCAAUCUUAUUCCUCUUCUUAUCUUUUUCUUCUGUUCUCCGUCAAAGACCUGCGGCGACAGCUAUUUCGCACCUUCCUUUUCUUAAAUCAAAGGUGAAUGAGUGAGUUGGUGACCUAUACCCCUGGUGUUCUGAAGACUCUAAUGGCUCGUGCGCAGCUUCUUCAAUUUCUUUCAUCUCCAGUUUCUUCAUCGAGUACCCGUUUUCUCGAAGCUUCAUUUGAUUCUCGCUGAAAUCUUACCAUCGACCAGCUUCCUGCUUUGAAUGAACUCGAUACCAUGGUUAGAUAAUCGUUCAUGUUUCUGUAGUUUCCGUAGUUAGUAUCCAACUCUGUAUAGAUCCACGGCGAGUUCAUAUGAAGGAGAAGAAGGUGAGGUGUCUCGGAUGGCCCAUAAAAUCUAGGGCUUUCCCUUGAUAAUUCUUUGGCCAGACUUUUUAUGUGUUUGAGGCCAACUGAAUAGCCCAUUUAAAAACAGUGAAACAAACAUUUUACAAACCCGUGUUUAGGUGAGCUGACGUGUCACGCUCUGGUUCUUCUAGUUUAUGACGUGGCUGCCUAUGUGGUGCAACAGGAGGGAGACAAACAUUUUUUUUUAUAUAUAUAGAUGCUAUCAUGGUGCAUAUAAAGAGUUAAGAUGAGUCCUAAAAUAAUAUACUAUAAUGUAAUGAUCAAUGGCAUUUUUUUGUAAUUAGUCUAGUUGAAAAAAGAUUUUUAAAAUAAUGAAGUGAGAGAGCUUGUGGUGAUGACACUUAAGAAAUGACACACAUGUAAUAAACACAUGAAGCAAAGGUUAGUUUUUACUAAUGCUCCUCAAAUAAUAAAAAAAGAAUGUCUUCCUUACAUCAUCCUUAAUUAGUUUACGGUUCAACCAUUUCUAAUAUAAUGAGAGUAACAUAAUAUUAGAUGUUGAUUAUCUCCUUCCAAUUAGUAAUGCAUAGAAUGAGAGAAAUUCAACGUAAUACCACUUUAAAAUUUUGUCAUCAUAUUUAUAUAGAGUUAGUUUAUAGAUUACUUUAUUUGUUUCAAAAUGUAAUCAGUUUAAUUAAAAUUAAUAUAUAAAAGUUAUUACUUUAGAAAAUUGUCAUUUAAUAUAAAAAUUUAAUCAAUUACACAGUAAUAUAUACAUAAUUUAAUUGGCCACACAAUAUCCAAUAAAUAUAAAGUUGCAUUGAAAUAUAAAAACAGUUUAUAUAAUGAAACAAAAAAUACUUUUAAACCAUUAUAUUAUAAAACAAAUAGAAUAUUCAAAUUAUAUUGAAACAUUAUAAUAGUAAGAAUCAGAAAAGCUGAAAUCUCAACGUCGAAGCCUUAGACCAUCUCCAAUGUAUUCCUCUAUUUUUUCUCUGAAAUAGAGGAAUUUCAUAAUAGAGAUGGAUUUGUCUCCGAUAUAUUUUUCUAUUUUCUCUUCUAAAUAAGAAUAUUCUUGAUAUACUCUUUUCUAAGUUUACAAAUAAUAUUUUUUUAUUUGUGAAAGUUGAUAACCAGCCCAAUUUAUUUUAGUAUUUUAUAAAAUUAUGAUAUUAUUUACACUAAAUAUUUCUUUACAAAAUACUAUGUAAAUA